AAUGUAGAUACUGUUUGCUGGAGAUGGAGAAGAUCAUCCAGCGUUGCUACCAAGCAUGGGAUCGGAGGGAUCAUGUUUUUUUACUUUUAAAAGCUUCGUGGCCCAGUAGGAUUAUCCCCUGGUUUGUUUUGUGGAAACACAACAGAAGAGCCUUUUAACGUAAACAAUGGGUGCUACUGCUUCCACCACACAGCCAUAGGUGGGAAAAUAAUCACUAACAUUGGACGCUUGGUCUGUAGUGUAAAGACAUGUUUCUGAUGGCAUGGAACUUGUUUUUUUCCUCAACAAUACGUUAUUAUUUCACUUGACGUUAUAUAGGGAGUGUGUAUUUUCUGUACUGUUGCUUACAUUAUACUUCUGAAGUAGAGCUUGUCAGAAAAUACCACAUAUUUUGAGCCUGUUGGGACACAGCGUGCACAUGUUGGUGCUAUGGAUUUUAAAAUAUGAUGUAGGUCUGAUCUGUUUCCUUUUUCUAUAGAUCUAAGUAAAACCAUAGAGGAUCAGGUUUGUUUUUCAGUGACUAUGUAGAGGUUAAUGUUUAGAGCGGCAAUCAAUUAGUUGUCAACUAUUAAUUAAUCGCCAACUAUUUUCUAAUCCUUAAAGGACAAUUGUGGUGCAAAAUGAACCUUGGGGUUAAUAACAGGUGUACUGAGUAGACCAUUAUCUGGGAUAUGUUUUCAUGCUAACAGUAUCGGUGGUGGUGAUGGUGCAGUGGAGAUGAAACAUGCCUUUGGUGUGGGAGACACGGGUUUGAUUCCAACUGCGAUACAUCAACCAAUGUGUCCCUGAGCAAGACACUUAGCCCCUAGUUGCUCCAGAGGUGUGCGACCUCUGACAUACAGUAUAUAGCAAUUGCAAGUUGCUUUGGAUAAAAGCGUCAGCUGAAUAAAUGUAAUGUCCCUAGCUUGAUUGAGCUAGCGCAAACCAGUGAUUAGCUUCUAACGCUAGCUUUCGGGGGCAUAGUGUAAAUUGUUAUUUUAUACCACUAAUAAGUCUCAAAAUAGCAAACCAAAGCAUUUGGUUUAUUUAAAAGAUAGAUUUUAAAGACAGUAGCGUUCAUGUUUACAUGCGGGCGCCAUCUUGGAAAACAGUCACAACCAGUCGAACCACGACAAGCCUUGUUAGUUCCCCCCAAAAAGCUAGCAUUAGAAGCUAAUCACCGGUUUGCGCUAGCUUGUUUCAAGCUAGAAACAAAUUCAAUUAGCAUGAAAACAUAUCCCAGAGAGCUAUCAAUUGGUGAUCACCU